GUGGGAGUACCUACUCGUAUUUUAUUGAGAUUUACAUGUAGGCCUAACGUAUGCAGGAGUCAUGUUUAAAGACGUCUGAGAGGUCGUUACUGAAAACGCAAGGUGUGGCAGAUAUUUUUGACUGCUUUUCAGCGGGAACCACGGUUUGCAGACAGACGGUGAGAGUCAACGGUUCAGACAUUUUUCUCGCCAGUCUUCUCCGUCGAAUAAUUUUCUUGGUCAAAGAGAGAGCAGGAUUUCAAGUUUUUCGGGCAAGAACAAAUCUUCCAAUCACUCAUCAAAGACCUCAAAGAUCUUGAGACCAAUGUCUGCCUGGAGUACUGAGGUUAAAGACAUCAUUUUGCGAGCAUUGCCUAACUUAUCCUCAGAUGUUCUGCAACAGAUACUUUCAAAACUUCAUAGCUCUGGGCUAGAAAGCAAAGAAGAUUAGCAGUAUGUUCGACAAGAAGACCUUACUGAUGUCUUGCCAGUUAUUCAGCUUAGAAAGCUUCUUCAGGUCUUCAAAUCAGAAACUGAAGUUAUUACACUGAACUUACAAGCCACCUCGAGCCAAUGUUCAAGUUACAGUGAACCAAGUUCAGCCUCUCCUUUGUCAAGUUCAGCACAUGACAGUCAAGCUUGCAUGUCAUUUUCCUCAGAAACAGCCAACCCAAGUACAUCCUCUCCACAUAAUUUUAUUAUUUCCAAGACAUGGCCCACAACUUUCCAGGUCCCAUGGGAUCGAAUGCCACCACAGAUCCAAUCAGCUAUUUCUGCAGGCAAGAGGCCUAAACCUGCAGAACGGCGGCAGAUGGUGAGAGUCCUAGUGGACG